rnacentral:rRNA from 1 species
AUUGAACGCUGGCGGCAUGCCUUACACAUGCAAGUCGAACGGCAGCACGGGUGCUUGCACCUGGUGGCGAGUGGCGAACGGGUGAGUAAUACAUCGGAACAUGUCCUGUAGUGGGGGAUAGCCCGGCGAAAGCCGGAUUAAUACCGCAUACGAUCCACGGAUGAAAGCGGGGGACCUUCGGGCCUCGCGCUAUAGGGUUGGCCGAUGGCUGAUUAGCUAGUUGGUGGGGUAAAGGCCUACCAAGGCGACGAUCAGUAGCUGGUCUGAGAGGACGACCAGCCACACUGGGACUGAGACACGGCCCAGACUCCUACAGGAGGCAGCAGUGGGGAAUUUUGGACAAUGGGCGAAAGCCUGAUCCAGCAAUGCCGCGUGUGUGAAGAAGGCCUUCGGGUUGUAAAGCACUUUUGUCCGGAAAGAAAUCCUUGACUCUAAUACAGUCGGGGGAUGACGGUACCGGAAGAAUAAGCACCGGCUAACUACGUG